UACAGAGGGUGCGAGCGUUAAUCGGAAUUACUGGGCGUAAAGCGCGCGUAGGCGGCUUUGCAAGUCGGGUGUGAAAUCCCCAGCUUAACUUGGGAACUGCAUUCGAGACUGCAUUGCUAGAGUAUGGGAGAGGGAAGUGGAAUUUCCGGUGUAGCGGUGAAAUGCGUAGAUAUCGGAAGGAACAUCAGUGGCGAAAGCGACUUCCUGGACCAAUACUGACGCUCAUGUGCGAAAGCGUGGGGAGCGAACAGG
rnacentral:rRNA from 1 species